AUACGAAGGGUGCAAGCGUUAAUCGGAAUUACUGGACGUAAAGCGCGCGUAGGUGGUUCGUUAAGUUGGAUGUGAAAGCCCCGGGCUCAACCUGGGAACUGCAUCCAAAACUGGCGAGCUAGAGUACGGUAGAGGGUGGUGGAAUUUCCUGUGUAGCGGUGAAAUGCGUAGAUAUAGGAAGGAACACCAGUGGCGAAGGCGACCACCUGGACUGAUACUGACACUGAGGUGCGAAAGCGUGGGGAGCAAACAGGAUUAGAAACCCUAGUAGUCC
rnacentral:rRNA from 1 species